UACGUAGGGUGCAAGCGUUGUCCGGAAUUAUUGGGCGUAAAGAGCUCGUAGGUGGUUUGUCGCGUCUGUCGUGAAAAUCCCGAGGCUCAACCUCGGGUCUGCAGUCGAUACGAGCAAACUAGAGUGUUGCAGGGGAGACUGGAAUUCCUGGUGUAGCGGUGAAAUGCGCAGAUAUCAGGAGGAACACCGGUGGCGAAGGCGGGUCUCUGGGCAACAACUGACGCUGGAGGAGCGAAGAGCGUGGGGGAGCGAACAGG
rnacentral:rRNA from 1 species